rnacentral:rRNA from 1 species
UACGUAGGUGACAAGCGUUUGUCCGGAUUUACUGGGCGUAAAGAGCGCGCAGGCGGUCGAUCAAGUCGAGUGUGAAAGCCCCCGGCUCAACUGGGGAGGGUCAUUCGAUACUGAUCGACUCGAAGGCAGGAGAGGGUAGUGGAAUUCCCGGUGUAGUGGUGAAAUGCGUAGAUAUCGGGAGGAACACCAGUGGCGAAGGCGGUUCUCUGGGAAUGUCCUGACGCUGAGGAGCGAAAGUGUGGGGAGCGAACAGG